rnacentral:misc_RNA from 1 species
AAAACCUUCUCACAGAAAAUGUGGUAUUGGUAGAAGUGGGUAGUACUAACAAAUAGUACUUUAUCUUACUCUACUGAAAUAAAUAGGCCAGUAAAGUGGACCAUGGUAGUAGACUCUAGGAGUGUAGUAAAAUGCUAAACUAGUCUUCACCAGGUGUAGAUCCUGAGCUAAAUGGACCCCCCUUUUGUCCAAAUCAGAGA